rnacentral:lncRNA from 1 species
AUCUUUAUUGCUUACGGACCUUAUUUUUUUUAAGAUUUUAUUUAUUUAUUUGUCAGAGAGAGAGAGCAGAAGCAGGGGGAGCAGCAGGCAGAGACAAGCAGACUCACUGCUGAGCAGGCAGCCCAAUGCAGGACUCCACCCCAGCACGCCAGGAUCAUGACCCAAGCCGAAGGUAGACACUUAACCGACUGAGCCACUCAGGUGCCCUACGGACUUUAUUUUUAAGAGUUGGCUCUGGAUCCGUUUCAUGCCUUUAUUCCAGACUCCAGGCUAGAGAGGCCGCCCAGCGCAGGUGGAAGAGAGCAAGGGUAGAAUCACUGUGGGGCUCUUACAGCUUCUGCUCGGAUGUGGCAGAAACAUGUCUGCUCAAAUUCAGUAACUGAAGCAAGCCACUCCGUUUUGAGGUUCCUGGAUCUGAAACAAACUGAUCUGAAACAAACAUGGACCCAGCCAGCGACCCUGCUGCACCAAGGCACAGUGAAUCGUGCCCAGGCCUCGUUUCCGGCCCGCACCUUGGCUCCACCUUUAUACAGAGGUGGGGAGGAGACCGAGUCGCCAUUCUGGCUCUGGGGUCCCGCCGGCCUGCCUUUACCCCUUUUGCAGGCCGCCCUGCCCGCCCACCUGCCCCCACCCUCUAUGAGAUGAGUGACACUCAAGACUUGGCCACUUUCCCCGCGGUUGCCACCCAGGUGAAGCCGGGGGGCUGGAGCCGUCAAGGUGGGGGGAGUGGGUCCGUCCAUCAGCGCCGGCACCAGGAGCUCCAGGCCUUUCUUAACCUGCUGGGUGAGUUCACUUGGGGGCUGGCAUGGAAGGGGCUGUGGGG